rnacentral:rRNA from 1 species
UGCAAGUCGAACGGUCUCUUCGGAGAUAGUGGCGGACGGGUGAGUAACACGUGAGAACCUACCUUCAGAACGGGGAUAACAGUUGGAAACGACUGCUAAUACCCGAUGUGCCGAGAGGUGAAAGAGUUAUCGUCUGAAGAAGGGCUCGCGGCUGAUUAGCUAGUUGGAAGUGUAAUGGACUCCCAAGGCAACGAUCAGUAACUGGUCUGAGAGGAUGAGCAGUCACACUGGAACUGAGAAACGGUCCAGACUCCUACGGGAGGCAGCAGUGGGGAAUUUUCCGCAAUGGGCGAAAGCCUGACGGAGCAAUACCGCGUGAGGGAGGAAGGUUCUUGGAUUGUAAACCUCUUUUCUAGGGGAAUAAAAAAAUGAAGGUACCCUAGGAAUAAGCAUCGGCUAACUCCGUGCCAGCAGCCGCGGUAAUACGGAGGAUGCAAGCGUUAUCCGGAAUUAUUGGGCGUAAAGAGUCCGUAGGUGGAAGUUCAAGUCUGUCGUUAAAGAAUGGAGCUUAACUCCAUAGAGGCGGUGGAAACUGAACAACUAGAGUGCGGUAGGGGUAACGGGAAUUCCCAGUGUAGCGGUGAAAUGCGUAGAUAUUGGGAAGAACAUCGGUGGCGAAAGCGCGUUACUGGGCCGAAACUGACACUGAGGGACGAAAGCUAGGGUAGCGAAAGGGAUUAGAUACCCCUGUAGUCCUAGCCGUAAACGAUGGAUACUANGCGUAGCACGUAUCGACCCGUGCUGUGCCGAAGCUAACGCGUUAAGUAUCCCGCCUGGGGAGUACGCUCGCAAGAGUGAAACUCAAAGGAAUUGACGGGGGCCCGCACAAGCGG